rnacentral:rRNA from 1 species
UGAAAUUGUAAUUCCGGUGAAGAUGCCGGAUACCUGCGACAGGACGGAAAGACCCCAUGGAGCUUUACUGUAGCUUGACAUUGGGUCUUGGUACUACAUGUACAGGAUAGGUGGGAGGCUUUGAAGUGUGGACGCCAGUCUGCAUGGAGCCGACCUUGAAAUACCACCCUUUAAUGUUUGAUGUUCUAACGUUGACCCGUAAUCCGGGUUGCGGACAGUGUCUGGUGGGUAGUUUGACUGGGGCGGUCUCCUCCUAAAGAGUAACGGAGGAGCACGAAGGUUGGCUAAUCCUGGUCGGACAUCAGGAGGUUAGUGCAAUGGCAUAAGCCAGCUUGACUGCGAGCGUGACGGCGCGAGCAGGUGCGAAAGCAGGUCAUAG